rnacentral:rRNA from 1 species
GAACGUACGCUGGCGGCACGCCUAACACAUGCAAGUCGAACGAAGUAGCAAUACUUAGUGGCAGACGGGUGAGUAACAUGUAGGUAUCUGCCCUUUGGCCUGGAAUAACACGAGGAAACUUGUGCUAAUACCGGAUAAGUCUUUACGGAGAAAGCUUUAUGCACCAUUGGAUGAGCCUGCACUUGAUUAGUUUGUUGGUGGGGUAAUGGCCUACCAAGACUGUGAUCAAUAGCUGAUUUGAGAGGAUGAUCAGCCACAUUGGGACUGAGACACGGCCCAAACUCCUACGGGAGGCAGCAGUGGGGAAUCUUGCACAAUGGAGGAAACUCUGAUGCAGCGAUGCCGCGUGAGUGAAGAAGGCCCUUGGGUUGUAAAGCUCUUUCGUCGGGGAAGAAAAUGACUGUACCCGAAUAAGAAGGUCCGGCCAACUUCGUGCCAGCAGCCGCGGUAAUACGAAGGGACCUAGCGUAGUUCGGAAUUACUGGGCUUAAAGAGUUCGUAGGUGGUUGAAAAAGUUGGUGGUGAAAUCCCAGAGCUUAACUCUGGAACUGCCAUCAAAACUUUUCAGCUAGAGUAUGAUAGAGGAAAGCAGAAUUUCUAGUGUAGAGGUGAAAUUCGUAGAUAUUAGAAAGAAUACCAAUUGCGAAGGCAGCUUUCUGGAUCAUUACUGACACUGAGGAACGAAAGCAUGGGUAGCGAAGAGGAUUAGAUACCCUCGUAGUCCAUGCCGUAAACGAUGUGUGUUAGACGUUGGAAAUUUAUUUUCAGUGUCGCAGCGAAAGCGAUAAACACACCGCCUGGGGAGUACGACCGCAAGGUUAAAACUCAAAUGAAUUGACGGGGACCCGCACAAGUAGUGGAGCAUGUGGUUUAAUUCGAAGAUACGCGCAGAACCUUACCAACACUUGACAUGUUCGUCGCGACUUUAAGAGAUUAAAGUUUUCGGUUCGGCCGGACGAAACACAGGUGCUGCAUGGCUGUCGUCAGCUCGUGUCGUGAGAUGUUGGGUUAAGUCCCGCAACGAGCGCAACCCUCACUUUUAGUUGCCAUCAUUAAGUUGGGCACUCUGAAAGAACUGCCAGUGAUAAGCUGGAGGAAGGUGGGGAUGACGUCAAGUCCUCAUGGCCCUUACGUGUUGGGCUACACACGUGCUACAAUGGUAUCUACAACAGGAAGCAAGACGGCGACGUCAAGCAAAUCCUUAAAAGAUACCUCAGUUCGGAUUGCACUCUGCAACUCGAGUGCAUGAAGCUGGAAUUACUAGUAAUCGUGGAUCAGCGUGCCACGGUGAAUGCGUUCCCGGGUCUUGUACACACCGCCCGUCACACCAUGGGAGUUGGUUCUACCUUAAGGCAAGGUUUAAAACCCUUGACCACGGUAUAGUCAGCGACUGGGGU